UAUACCGCGGGCCUAUAUUUU
rnacentral:siRNA from 1 species